GCUUAUAUAUGUGUGUAUGGUAGCAGCCUACAUGCUGCUCACUGACGCUGUUCAUUGGUUAAGCUGACAUGUGGUUCCUGCUUGAUCCAAAACACACCUGCGGCUUUAGAGGACACCGUUGAGGAGUUUUGCAGAGAGAGAUGAGGGUGAUAUGGAUUCAGAGUCAGACUCUGGGGAGGAAGACAGUGAAGCAGAAGGAAAUGGCACCGAACUCCCCCCACCCAGCACAACCUAUUGCACACCAAAAGGACCAGUUGACAUCUCAAGAACUAAAGCGGAAGGUCCAGCUCAGCCAUGUCUGUCAAAGUUCCCAAGAACUCAGCAUGGAACAAGAACAAGGGCUUUGAACAGCUCUUGGUACAAAGACAAUCCACGGCUUGAGUACUCUGUAUCUCAAAAUGCCAGUUACUGUUUUGCAUGCAGGCAUUUCUCCCUGCCUAGUUCUACAGAAUCAUCCUUCACAUCUG